rnacentral:lncRNA from 1 species
UCCACUUCCUUAGGCGCACAGAUGCAAAACAAUUUAUAUCACAUGUUUGCUAUCUGUUACGCUAUAUUUUCCCACUCUGAAAUCUUAAUAUUUCCAGUAAGAAUAAUAUUCUGUUUAAUUUUAAUAGGGUCUCAUGGAAGAAUUUCUGGAUUAGGGAUCACAUAUGAUGUAAAAUAGGUAUUGCUCCUCAGUCCUCACUGUGAUCUUGUUAGUUAAUUAAACAGCAGCGUGAACGUAAUACAGUGACCAGUGCUGGCAGCAUGUCUUAGAUACGAAAAGGCUUGAUGCUUGCUAAAUAUUUUUUCACCUGACACAUGACUUGUACUAUUAGCUACCUUGAAAUUGUGUUGUGCAUUCUGACCUUAUUUUUGAAUCAAUGUGUGUGAGCUGCAUAUUUUAACUGCCACCCACAACAUUUUCUUCAUUGUUGCAGUCUGGUGGAAUAUGCACUCUUGAGGUUCUGAUCGAGACUAUGCGAAAAAGGAAAGAACAUAUGCUAUCUUCAGGUGUCUCUCUGUUCUUCGGCAAUUAAAUUCAUCACUGAAUACUGAAAUCCACUUCAAUCCUAACGUUUGAUCCGGGGAAAUUCAGUUAUGCAUAUUUAUGAGCACUGGUCAUAAUCUUUUUUUAGAUAAGCACACUCUUGACUUGAAUAAUUAUGUCUUAUAUGAAGUGGAGGCACAUGAGUUGGGGUGAUCUGUAUCGCCUCCGGCGGCAUCGGAUUCAUGGAAUUAGUAUAGCAGCUCUCGCGAGAGUUGGCUUUGGUGUUUAUUUUCAUGUUUAACUAUUUGGAUGUGUUCUUUGAAUGCCUCUGAUUGUCUGUGUAUAGUGUAUCUAAGCAUUCUUCCUUUUCUUUAUUAUUAAGAUGACUAAAUUUUGGAUAUUCUUUCAUACAUUUGAUAUUUAAUUGUGUUGUGUACUGUUAUGUUGUUAGAUCAGAAAGUGGGACUUUAAACCGUUUGGCCAUGGCCAUAUAGUUAGCUGCUUGGAGUACAUUAGAUGCACAUGUUCCUUUAGUUACAUGAUCCAUGAUGUAUGACAACAGACCUCCCAAUUGACUGGCGAUGUUUAAAUAGAUAUGACAAGAUUCAUAUGAUGUUUUCCUACAAAUCUAACUAUAAAUCCUAGAAGUGAGUUUUUAGUAAUUUGCUUAUUAAAUGAUCGUGUUGUUGUUUAAUUUUGCCUGAUUUAUUUCUGUGAAACAUACAUGAUCGUCUAUAGUUUCAUUUGGCCUGAAACAAAUUAAGUUGUAUUCACUCCAAACCUGCGUAUUUGUUAGCAUAUUUUUGUGUUUGUUUUGGUCGAUGGUUAGACAUGCUUUGCAUCAAUCAUUUCGUUUUUACAUGAGGAUGUAUGCAGUAAACAUUGUGUUGCAAUCUUAAUUUUUCUAUAG